UACGUAGGUGGCAAGCGUUGUCCGGAAUUAUUGGGCGUAAAGCGCGCGCAGGCGGUCCUUUAAGUCUGAUGUGAAAGCCCACGGCUCAACCGUGGAAGGUCAUUGGAAACUGGGGGACUUGAGUACAGAAGAGGAAAGCGGAAUUCCACGUGUAGCGGUGAAAUGCGUAGAGAUGUGGAGGAACACCAGUGGCGAAGGCGGCCUGCUGGGCAGUUUGGCUGACACUGAGGCGCGACAGCGUGGGGAGCAAACAGG
rnacentral:rRNA from 1 species